CCUGAUGCAGCGACGCCGCGUGAGGGAUGACGGCCUUCGGGUUGUAAACCUCUUUCAGCAGGGACGAAGCGCAAGUGACGGUACCUGCAGAAGAAGCGCCGGCCAACUACGUGCCAGCAGCCGCGGUAAGACGUAGGGCGCGAGCGUUGUCCGGAUUUAUUGGGCGUAAAGAGCUCGUAGGCGGCUUGUCGCGUCGACCGUGAAAACUCGCAGCUCAACUGCGAGCCUGCGGUCGAUACGGGCAGGCUAGAGUUCGGUAGGGGAGACUGGAAUUCCUGGUGUAGCGGUGAAAUGCGCAGAUAUCAGGAGGAACACCGAUGGCGAAGGCAGGUCUCUGGGCCGAUACUGACGCUGAGGAGCGAAAGCGUGGGGAGCGAACAGGAUUAGAUACCCUGGUAGUCCACGCUGUAAACGUUGGGCGCUAGGUGUGGGGAGCCUCUCCGGUUCUCUGUGCCGCAGCUAACGCAUUAGGCGCCCCGCCUGGGGAGUACGGCCGCAAG
rnacentral:rRNA from 1 species